rnacentral:rRNA from 1 species
UACGUAGGGGGCAAGCGUUGUCCGGAAUUAUUGGGCGUAAAGAGCGUGUAGGCGGUCCGGUAAGUCAGCUGUGAAAGUCAAGGGCUCAACCCUUGAAAGCCGGUUGAUACUGUCGGGCUAGAGUCCGGAAGAGGCGAGUGGAAUUCCCGGUGUAGCGGUGAAAUGCGCAGAUAUCGGGAGGAACACCAAUGGCGAAGGCAGCUCGCUGGGACGGUACUGACGCUGAGACGCGAAAGCGUGGGGAGCGAACCGG